rnacentral:lncRNA from 1 species
GAGAAGAGAGAGAUACAAGAGAUGUUAAUGUAAUUUACUUAGGAAAUACAGGAGAGAGGUUUGGAUGAAAACGUAAUUAAAAUUUUAACUUGUAGUUUUCUCUAUAUAGAUUUCUAAUAGGCAAUUGGAGAAAUGGGUUUGGAGCUCAAGAAAAGUCUGUGUUGCUGCAGCAUACAAUUGGGUUUUAAAGCCACGAGAGGAAAACUGAUAUUCAGGUGGACUGCAAAAAGGGAGGAAGAAAAAAGACACAAAAAGAGGCCUGGAAGGCAAUGCUCCCACAAACCGGUGAGAACAAUGCAAAAUUUGGGACCGUGAUUUUGGAUCACCUUGACACUGAAAGCCACAGAGAGACAUAAGUUAUCUUCCUUGUCUUCUGUAUCAAAGACAAGACAUAAUUCAGAAUUUAUCAUUCUCGACUGUCA